rnacentral:rRNA from 1 species
AUGUAAUGUAAUGCCUACAAUGUUAAUGCACCAAAUCUCAUUAGAACUCCGUAGUUAAGUGCACUUGGGCUAGAGUAUUAUUGGGAUGGGCGACCUUCGAAGAAUUCCUAGUGUUUUAUGUC